CGGGUGUGGCGGAACUGGUAGACGCACCAGAUUUAGGUUCUGGCGCUUCGGCGUGGAGGUUCGAGUCCUCUCACCCGC
rnacentral:tRNA from 1 species